rnacentral:rRNA from 1 species
AUGACUUGUAUGAAAGAUUGGAUGAAAUAUAAACUGUCUCUUAAUUAAAUAUAGAAUUUAAUUUUUUAAUUAAAAAGUUAAGAUAAAUUAAAAAGACGAGAAGACCCUAUAGAGUUUUAUAAUUAAUUUAAUUAAGAUUAUUUAAAAAUAAAAAUUAAAAUUUAAUUAAUUAUUUUGUUGGGGUGACAAAAAAAUAUAAUUAACUUUUUUUAAUAUUUAUCCAUUUAUAAGUGAUUAAAUGAUCCAAUAUUAUUGAUUAUAAGAAAAAAUUACCUUAGGGAUAACAGCGUAAUUUUUUUUUUUA